rnacentral:lncRNA from 1 species
UCCAACAGGAUUUGAUCGACUCCAAUCCGAAUUUCUUCCAGAACUUCAUCAGUUCGUCAGUGGCCGAACUUUCCUAACAGCAGAUCUCCAUGAUGGAUGGACUCCAUCCAAGUUUCUACGGUGGUCGACCACCUUCUGGAUUUCAUCUGAGCUCCUACGGGAGCCGGACUUCUUCCCCGAACUCCUACUACAGGUAGACUUCGUCCGAGCACCAACGGGAGCCAAACUUUAGCCCUGAGCUCUUAUUGCAGGUAAACCUCAUCCGAAUUCUUACAAGGGCCGGACUCCGAGCCCCCACCAC